rnacentral:misc_RNA from 1 species
GUGAGUCAUCGAAUCUUUGAACGCAAAUUGCGCUCUCAGGAUAGGCCUGGGAGCACGUGUCUUUGAGCAUCGAUUCUACAAACCCUCGACGGCGUGCUUUGCUUCUGCAAGGCACACGCAGUCGGAAAAUGAGUCAAUUCGCUUCACAGUGAGUGACUUCAAAUGAAAUGAGCUGCUUUUGAAUCAAAUGCUUUGGGCCUAAACAGUCCAUAGCCUUGCGCUUUCCUCAAUAGCACUAUCUGGUGCUUGUCGCUAGUGACGUGGAUAAUUUCACACUCUUGUGAACCUUCCAAACGUGAC